CCGAGUUUACAACUCCCAAACCCCUGUGAACAUACCUAUCGUUGCUUCGGCGGAUCCGCCCCGGUGCCUUCGGGCCCGGACUCAGGCGCCCGCCGGGGGACCCAAACAAUUAUAUCAUCCUUAUGAAAAACUUAGUGAACAACUAAACAAUGAUUUUAAUAAUCUGUUUAAAA
rnacentral:misc_RNA from 1 species